UACGUAGGGUCCGAGCGUUGUCCGGAAUUAUUGGGCGUAAAGGGCUCGUAGGCGGCCAACUAAGUCGGAUGUGAAAUCCCCAGGCUUAACCUGGGAAUUGCAUCCGAUACUGGAUGGCUUGAAUCCGGGAGAGGGAUGCGGAAUUCCAGGUGUAGCGGUGAAAUGCGUAGAUAUCUGGAGGAACACCGGUGGCGAAGGCGGCAUCCUGGACCGGCAUUGACGCUGAGGAGCGAAAGCCAGGGGAGCAAACGGG
rnacentral:rRNA from 1 species